rnacentral:rRNA from 1 species
AUAUGCAGCCACACCCCCCUGAGAACAGCCCCGCUCAUGUGAUCUGGGAAGCUAAGCAGGGUCGGCCCCGGUCAGCACUUGGAUGGGAGACCAUGAAGGCCAAUGGGACCUGGGGUGGGUUAGA